rnacentral:rRNA from 1 species
UUCCUACGGGGGGCAGCAGUGGGGAAUAUUGCACAAUGGGGGAAACCCUGAUGCAGCGACGCCGCGUGAGUGAAGAAGUAUUUCGGUACGUAAAGCUCUAUCAGCAGGGAAGAAAAUGACGGUACCUGACCAAGAAGCCCCGGCUAACUACGUGCCAGCAGCCGCGGUAAUACGUAGGGGGCAAGCGUUAUCCGGGUUUACUGGGUGUAAAGGGAGCGUAGACGGCAGCGCAAGUCUGGAGUGAAAUGCCGGCGCUCAACCCCGGAACUGCUUUGGAGACUG